UACGUAGGAUGCAAGCGUUGUUCGGAAUUACUGGGCGUAAAGAGUACGUAGGCGGUCUGGCAAGUCUGAUAUUAAAGACUGGAGCUUAACUCCAGGACUGUAUCGGAAACUGCCAAACUAGAGGACAAUAGAGGAAGUCGGAAUUCUCAGUGUAGCGGUGAAAUGCGUAGAUAUUGGGAAGAACACCAGUGGCGAAGGCGGGUCUCUGGGCCGAUACUGACGCUGAGGAGCGAAAGCGUGGGGAGCGAACAGG
rnacentral:rRNA from 1 species